AUCCGGCAUUAUUGGGCGUAAAGAGCUCGUAGGCGGUUUGUCGCGUCUGCCGUGAAAGUCCGGGGCUCAACUCCGGAUCUGCGGUGGGUACGGGCAGACUAGAGUGAUGUAGGGGAGACUGGAAUUCCUGGUGUAGCGGUGAAAUGCGCAGAUAUCAGGAGGAACACCGAUGGCGAAGGCAGGUCUCUGGGCAUUAACUGACGCUGAGGAGCGAAAGCAUGGGGAGCGAACAGG
rnacentral:rRNA from 1 species